rnacentral:rRNA from 1 species
CUUGCUUCUCUUGAGAGCGGCGGACGGGUGAGUAAUGCCUAGGAAUCUGCCUGGUAGUGGGGGAUAACGUUCGGAAACGGACGCUAAUACCGCAUACGUCCUACGGGAGAAAGCAGGGGACCUUCGGGCCUUGCGCUAUCAGAUGAGCCUAGGUCGGAUUAGCUAGUUGGUGGGGUAAUGGCUCACCAAGGCGACGAUCCGUAACUGGUCUGAGAGGGUGAUCAGUCACACUGGAACUGAGACACGGUCCAGACUCCUACGGGAGGCAGCAGUGGGGAAUAUUGGACAAUGGGCGAAAGCCUGAUCCAGCCAUGCCGCGUGUGUGAAGAAGGUCUUCGGAUUGUAAAGCACUUUAAGUUGGGAGGAAGGGUUGUAGAUUAAUACUCUGCAAUUUUGACGUUACCGACAGAAUAAGCACCGGCUAACUCUGUGCCAGCAGCCGCGGUAAUACAGAGGGUGCAAGCGUUAAUCGGAAUUACUGGGCGUAAAGCGCGCGUAGGUGGUUUGUUAAGUUGGAUGUGAAAUCCCCGGGCUCAACCUGGGAACUGCAUUCAAAACUGACUGACUAGAGUAUGGUAGAGGGUGGUGGAAUUUCCUGUGUAGCGGUGAAAUUGCGUA